UACAGAGGUCCCAAGCGUUGUUCGGAUUUACUGGGCGUAAAGGGUGCGUAGGUGGUGAGGUAAGUCUGAUGUGAAAUCUCCGAGCUCAACUCGGAAAUGGCAUUGGAAACUACCUUGCUAGAGGGUUGGAGGGGGGACUGGAAUACUUGGUGUAGCAGUGAAAUGCGUAGAUAUCAAGUGGAACACCAGUGGCGAAGGCGAGUCCCUGGACAACUCCUGACACUGAGGCACGAAAGCUAGGGGAGCAAACGGG
rnacentral:rRNA from 1 species